GGGAUUUUAGCUUAAUAAAAGUGUCUGGAUUGCAGUCAGAAGAUGUAUUUUAGAAUUGUACAGAUCCUC
rnacentral:tRNA from 1 species